rnacentral:rRNA from 1 species
GAUGGACGCUGGCGGCGUGCUUAACACAUGCAAGUCGAACGAAGCAUUUGCGACAGAUUUUUUCGGAAUGAAGUUGCUUAUGACUGAGUGGCGGACGGGUGAGUAACGCGUGGGUAACCUGCCCUGUACUGGGGGAUAGCAGCUGGAAACGGCUGGUAAUACCGCAUAAGCGCACAAUGUUGCAUGACAUGGUGUGAAAAACUCCGGUGGUAUAAGAUGGACCCGCGUCUGAUUAGCUAGUUGGUGAGAUAACAGCCCACCAAGGCGACGAUCAGUAGCCGACCUGAGAGGGUGACCGGCCACAUUGGGACUGAGACACGGCCCAGACUCCUACGGGAGGCAGCAGUGGGGAAUAUUGCACAAUGGAGGAAACUCUGAUGCAGCGACGCCGCGUGAGUGAAGAAGUAAUUCGUUAUGUAAAGCUCUAUCAGCAGGGAAGAUAGUGACGGUACCUGACUAAGAAGCUCCGGCUAAAUACGUG